GACGAACGCUGGCGGCGUGCUUAACACAUGCAAGUCGAACGGAAAGGCCUGCUUUCCCUUGUGGAUUGCGGGUACUCGAGUGGCGAACGGGUGAGUAACACGUGAGUGAUCUGCCCCCAACUUGGGUAUAAGCCUGGGAAACUGGGUCUAAUUCCCGAUAGGACUGCAGGGUGGUGCCUGUGGUGGAAAACGAUUUUCUAGUGGUUGGGGAUGAGCUCGCGGCCUAUCAGCUUGUUGGUGGGGUAAUGGCCUACCAAGGCGGCGACGGGUAGCCGGCCUGAGAGGGUGGACGGCCACAUUGGGACUGAGAUACGGCCCAGACUCCGACGGGAGGCAGCAGUGGGGAAUAUUGCACAAUGGGCGGAAGCCUGAUGCAGCGACGCCGCGUGGGGGAUGACGGCCUUCGGGUUGUAAACUCCUUUCGACCGCGAGGAAGCCACCUGGUUGGAAGGGUGGUGACGGUAGUGGUAGAAGAAGCACCGACUAACUACGUG
rnacentral:rRNA from 1 species